GUGAAUCAUCGAAUCUUUGAACGCAAAUUGCACUCUCUUCGGAGAGUAUGCCUGUUUGAGGGUCAGCCUAAAAAAAAAACCGACAUAGUCGCUGUUUCGCGGGGACAUUCGUCGGAAAUUUGUUCAUUCUAAACUUUUUGGUUUUAAGCGUCUUAAAAUUUUUUUUACGAUUCCGCGUACGUUUCUAAUAUUUACUUCUUAUACUCUUAAGAUAA
rnacentral:misc_RNA from 1 species